GGGUGGGAUAGCUCAGUGGUUAGAGAUUGGGUCUUGUGACCGGAAGGUCCCGGGAUCGAAUCCCGCCAAAUGCA
rnacentral:tRNA from 1 species